rnacentral:rRNA from 1 species
GAGCGAACGCUGGCGGCAGGCCUAACACAUGCAAGUCGAACGAAGUCUUCGGACUUAGUGGCGGACGGGUGAGUAACACGUGGGAACGUGCCCUUUGGUACGGAAUAACUCAGGGAAACUUGAGCUAAUACCGUAUGUGCCCUUCGGGGGAAAGAUUUAUCGCCAUUGGAGCGGCCCGCGUCUGAUUAGCUAGUUGGUGGUGUAAUGGACCACCAAGGCGACGAUCAGUAGCUGGUCUGAGAGGAUGAUCAGCCACAUUGGGACUGAGACACGGCCCAAACUCCUACGGGAGGCAGCAGUGGGGAAUCUUGCGCAAUGGGCGAAAGCCUGACGCAGCCAUGCCGCGUGAAUGAUGAAGGUCUUAGGAUUGUAAAAUUCUUUCACCGGGGACGAUAAUGACGGUACCCGGAGAAGAAGCCCCGGCUAACUUCGU